rnacentral:rRNA from 1 species
GAUUAGCUAAUACCGCAUACGACCUGAGGGUGAAAGCGGGGGACCGGCAACGGCCUCGCGCGACAGGAGCGGCCGAUGUCUGAUUAGCUAGUUGGUGGGGUAAGAGCCUACCGAGGCGACGAUCAGUAGCUGGUCUGAGAGGACGAUCAGCCACACUGGGACUGAGACACGGCCCAGACUCCUACGGGAGGCAGCAGUGGGGAAUUUUGGACAAUGGGGGCAACCCUGAUACCCCCACCGCCGCGUGUGUGAAAAAGGCCUUCGGGUUUUGAAAGACUUUUUCCCGGUAAAAAAACGCGCGGGUUAAAAUCUGGGGGGGGAUGACGGGUACCGGAAGAAUAAGCACCGGCUAACUACGUGCCAGCAGCCGCGGUAAUACGUAGGGUGCGAGCGUUAAUCGGAAUUACUGGGCGUAAAGCGUGCGCAGGCGGUUUGAUAAGACAGGCGUGAAAUCCCCGA